CCUACGGGUGGCUGCAGUGAGGAAUAUUGGUCAAUGGGCGCGAGCCUGAACCAGCCAAGUCGCGUGAGGGAUGACGGUCCUACGGAUUGUAAACCUCUUUUGCAGGAGAGAAAGAGUGCGUUGGUGCACGCACGUCGAGAGUACCUGGAGAAAAAGCAUCGGCUAACUCAGUGCAAGCAGCCGCGGUAAUACGGGGGAUGCGAGCGUUAUCCGGAUUUAUUGGGGUAAAGGGGGGCGUAGGCGGGAUGCCAAGUCAGCGGUAAAAAUGCGGUGCUCAACGCGGUCGAGCCGUUGAAACGGGCGUUCUUGAGUGGGCGAGAGGUAGGCGGAAUGCGUGGUGUAGCGGUGAAAUGCAUAGAUAUCACGCAGAACACCGGUUGCGAAGGCAGCAUACUGGCGCCCUACUGACGCUGAGGCACGAAAGCGUGGGUAGCGAACAGGAUUAGAUACCCGUGUAGUC
rnacentral:rRNA from 1 species